rnacentral:lncRNA from 1 species
CAAGAAGAAGAGGAAGAAGAAGGAAAAGAGAGUUGGGGAAGAGGACAAGAGGAGCAGCAGCAGCUCUGGCAGCGACUCGGAGGAGGAUCAUAGCAGUGAAAAGA